GCCUGGGUGGCUCAGUUGGUUGAGUGUCUGACUUUGGCUCAGGCCAUGAUCUCACAGUUUGUGAGUUCAAGCCCCACGUCGGGCU
rfam:Felis catus isolate Cinnamon breed Abyssinian chromosome C1, whole genome shotgun sequence.